UGUUAUUUGGAUUGUGUUCAUUGCAGAAUCUGAUUGCGUAAUGAGUAACUCACUCACAGCGGCUGCAGUUGGAAGCCAUGAGACGUCACCAUCCGAGGCUUAUUGGCAGAAGGUGCUGCCAAACACUCCAAUGCCAAGCGCUAUACGAGAUUUCUUCAACCUGGAUUUAAUCAACGAGAAGACAGGCACCACCAUUGACGUAGGGAAGGUCAAACCCAAGGGUGGAGUCAAUGUGAACGUAAACCACAAU